rnacentral:rRNA from 1 species
ACUCAAAGGAAUUGACGGGGACUUGCACAAGCAGUGGAUAAUGUGGUUUAAUUCGUCGACAAGCGAAGAACCUUACCAGGGUUAGAAAUCUAACUGAAGAUGAGCAGAAACGUUCAUCGUCUCACAAGGACAGUUAGACAGGUGCUGCAUGGUCGUCGUCAGUUCGUGGUUUGAAUUGUUCCCUUAAGUGGGGUAACGAACGCAACCCUCGUUGGCUGUUACAAGUGUCAGCCGAGACUGCCCACGAUUUUGGACACAAACGAAAGUUUGCGGACAGGAUCGUGGGAGGAAGGCGAGGAUGACGCCAGAUCAGCAUGGCCCUCUGAUACCCUGGGCUACACACGUUAUACAAUCGCCCAUACAACGCGUUGCGACGGGGAAACCCCGAGCCAAUCGUUAGAAAGUGGGCGCCAGUUCGGAUAGGGGUCUGCAACUCGACCCCUUGAAGCCGGAAUUGCUAGUAAUCGCGGGUCAGCAUACCGCGGUGAAUACGUUCUCAAGUCUUGUACACACCGCCCGU